AGAAUUUAAUGUUCCACCGCCAGCUGGAUGGGGCUUCCGGGACACAAGGCUUUUAAUAGAAUGGAUUUCUUUGACAAUAUCUUAUUUUCCAGGAAGGAGACUGAGUCUGGUAUGACCCUUGCUGACUACGGAAUGAGCCCCUGAAUUUAACUAACAAAUGAGGGAGCAGGAGGAACUGGGCCUCACCCCUGUCUUCAGCAGUGACCUGCUCCGGGGUGAUGGAUUAUCUAUCCACAGUGUUCUGCUACAGCCCCAGAAACUGGUGACUCCCUGCACUGCCUCUUAAUGAUCUCACUGGCUCCCACUGGUCCCAUCCGCUUGCCUCCGGCCACCAUCCUAUCGGCACCGAGAACAACACCCAAGCACAGUCAGAAAGAGCCCGCAGGUCCUUACGAGGAUGAAGAAAAGAGCAAACCCGCAAGCCACGCACCUGCAGGGUAGACCUGCCAGUCCCUGUCAGAACACAGUACUCCACACUGCCUGCCGGCUGCUGUUAAAGUCUUUCAUAACUGGGCCCCAAUCUUUCAGGCCACCAGUCUCACUGGAUUUUUUUAUUUCUGUGUCCUCACCAAUGUUACUGGAAUAAAUCUUGCUACUCUCCA